GUUCGAAUCCUGCACGACCCACCAAUCGUUCGGUGGAAACGAGAAUAAAACGUGAAGGAUAACGUUGCGUCAGCAACGGCCCGUAGGGCGAGGCGAAGCCGAGUCAUCCUGCACGACCCACCA
rnacentral:sRNA from 2 species